CUGUGCUCCAGCUGGGAGCAGCUUUCCUGUUUGUUUGUUUGUUCCUUUUUCCUUGCCAUGAUUGCAGAGAGGAAGGAAUCUGGCUCCUACCUCCCUGAAGACCUCGGGCUUGGAGAGCAAUUACUCAGCACUGCAGGCUCUGGUGCAGAAUUAAAGAAAAAAUACCUGUGCCAGCUGGAGGUUGGGAGUUGGGAUUGACAUCCCUGCAGCCCCUCAGGAUGGCUCUCCAGGGAAGAUUUCCCAAUUCCAACUCCUUGUAACCAAACCCUGCUGCCCAGACACCAUCACCUUCCUCAGGACCACGACUCUGAUGCCUUCACCACUGACAAAAUCCAGCAGAAAUUUCUGGCUACACUCGGACUUACAGAGUUGCAACAGCACCUAAAUAUCCAGAGUUUCCCCAUCUUUGGAAGACAGCACUCCAGAGCUUUGUGGUCAUGUUUCCUGGAAAAAUCAAUCCUCUUCUCCCCAAAAAAACCCCCCAAUUUACUUUUAAAAAACCCAGUUUAUAUAAAAGAAAUAAAUUAA